GAUGAACGCUGGCGGCGUGCCUAAUACAUGCAAGUCGAGCGAACGGACGAGGAGCUUGCUUCUCUGAUGUUAGCGGCGGACGGGUGAGUAACACGUGGAUAACCUACCUAUAAGACUGGGAUAACUUCGGGAAACCGGAGCUAAUACCGGAUAAUAUUUUGAACCGCAUGGUUCAAUAGUGAAAGACGGUUUUGCUGUCACUUAUAGAUGGAUCCGCGCUGCAUUAGCUAGUUGGUAAGGUAACGGCUUACCAAGGCAACGAUGCGUAGCCGACCUGAGAGGGUGAUCGGCCACACUGGAACUGAGACACGGUCCAGACUCCUACGGGAGGCAGCAGUAGGGAAUCUUCCGCAAUGGGCGAAAGCCUGACGGAGCAACGCCGCGUGAGUGAUGAAGGUCUUCGGAUCGUAAAACUCUGUUAUUAGGGAAGAACAAAUGUGUAAGUAACUGUGCACGUCUUGACGGUACCUAAUCAGAAAGCCACGGCUAACUACGUG
rnacentral:rRNA from 1 species